GGUUAGAAAGUCCGCUUACGGGCGGAUUGAUCAGCCCCAAAGGAAGUCACGGCUAACUCUGUGCCAGCAGCCGCGGUAAGACAGAGGUGGCAAGCGUUGUUCGGUGUCACUGGGCUUAGAGAGUGUGUAGGCGGAAAAGUAAGCGCCUUGUGAAAUCCCCCGGCUUAACCGGGGAAUUGCUUGACGAACUGCUUUUCUUGAGCCAAGUAGGGGUGCAUGGAACUCUUGGUGGAGCGGUGGAAUGCGUAGAUAUCAAGGGGAACGCCGAUGGAGAAAUCAGUGCACUGGGCUUGUGCUGACGCUGAGACACGAAAGCGUGGGGAUCAAACGGGAUUAGAUACCCCGGUAGUCCACGCCCUAAACGAUGUCUACUAGAUGGUGGAAGUUCUGACGCUUUCACGAUCGAAGCGAAAGUGUUAAGUAGACCGCCUGGGGAGUACGGUCGCAAGGCUAAAACUCAAAGGAAUUGACGGGGGCUCACACAAGCGGUGGAGCAUGUGGAUUAAUUCGAAGCAACGCGCAGAACCUUACCUGGGUUUGACAUGCAUGGAUGCUUGCCUGGAAACAGGUUAAGCUGCCUUCGGGUGAAACGUGCACAGGU
rnacentral:rRNA from 1 species